GAGCCACUAGAUGCAGCGGUUAUGAAGCGGGACCUUCAAACCUGAGUGUCAUGGGUUCAAAUCCCAGCUGGCCCA